CUGCCCUGCAUAUCGAGCCGACCUUAUCCACUUGCCUCCAUCCAUUCUGCUCCCUGGCCGAUCCCCUUUUUCCCUUACUUUCUUCCUCCUCGCGACCAAGCCGAGCAGACCGCCGCGGUCGUCGAGUCCGGCCAUCUCCAGCCGUUGCGCUUCGAUUCCUCGCGCCCCGAGCUUCCUCACUACCUCUUGUACCCUCCCCGAACCUCGGUCGAGCUCCUCCCCAGUCGAAUCGAUGGGAAUCGCUCCCACACGGGCCGGCCACCAUUGUUGCCGCUCCAAGCUCCGCCCCGCACGUCGACCCCCAUCUUCCGGCCUACCUCCGCCCAAACCGUGCCCGCGAUUUCGUAGAUGAGGACGUGGUGAACCGGAUCGUGGCUGAGCAAUGAGAGGAGGACCAGCUGAAGCAAUCAUGAAGACCCGGCCCAAGGUCGGAUGGGGUCAAGGCCUUGCUAAUACUAACACUGGUUUAGUGUUAUCCCAGACCCCCGGUAUUUGUUGCUGGUUGGAGCUAAUCAUGAUUCACAUCGGUGGGCUCGAUGUGACGUCCUCCCGACUUCGUAAAUAUCGUUGGUUUAAAACUGAGAUUUUAUUUAAAUUUCAGCUGCAUUACAAACUCUGAUUAUUUUAUUUAAAUUUAUUUUGCAAAGCUCUGUUUUGUAACUUAACUUUGAGAAACUUAUGUCUGCUUGUAAUCAUCUGCGCUCGCCUUCGUGCGAGACUUCCGGUGUUUUCGAUUCUUAACCCAACAUGCUGUCGGAUUACACUGUUUUAA